GCCUGGCUGGCUCAGUUGGUAGAGCAUGCAACUCUUGAUCUCAGGGUUGUGAGUUCAAGCCCCACAUUGGGUA
rnacentral:tRNA from 1 species